AGAUUUUUUUGAUUAUGUAGAUUUUUUUUUUUUUCCUCCUCUAUUGCAGUUUCAUAUGCAAAGCAUGCAUCAGCCACAUCCAUGCUAUCUCCUAAAGCAGUCAUUCUGAAACCCAAUCUGGGGACAGUGCAGACUAAAUAAAAUUUCAUUUUGAUUUGGCCUCCCGCUGAGAAUGGGACUGCUUUGUUUCAGCCGACAGAAGCAGCAAGCCAGAAAGGUGUUGAAUACACAAAUACUGACUUAACAGAAAAUUAUAAAAUCAUAGGAAGAGGGACAGCAUUUGAACCCCAUCCAUUUUCAGAACAAAGAAUCUGACUUUGAGAUAUGAAGCAACUGGAGUGAAGGACCCCUCUCCCCCCACAGUGGGUAAGGAGAGGGGGAUGUGACAUAUUUUCUGUGCUUAGGGCAUAUCAUGAACACAGUGAGGCCUGUUGAUAAAAAGAAGCAAAAUUGCUGGGAUGGCUAGGAUUUCAAAAUACUACUUCAUAAUAAGCAUAAAACACAUCUUAAAGCACAUAUUAUGGGUCCAGAAGAACACAUCUUUCAGUCUGCAAGAAGUAUUUAAACUACUCUGGCAGAUGAAGAUUUGGAUUUGGCUUGCUUGAUGCUGGACGAUUAAUGAAGGAAGCCCUAACUGGACAAAUGUUGGUCUCCUGAGACAAUGUGUUGUUGAUAACAGAAAAGGAUUGACAAUAAGAUGUGGAUGUUCAUCUUUAAUGAACUCUAGUCACCAAGUGGAAGUCAGUUAAGUUUGAUGAUGCAAUUGACCACCUUCUCAGCAACAGCUGAAUAUUUGCUCCUCAAAAUGAGCAAGCCUGUUAACUGUGAAUGUGAAGAGAUGAAGCAAGCAAAAAAAAAAAGUGUGAAGAGCUUUGCUGCCAUAUCGGCCCUAUAUCAGAUAGUUUUAGGAUCAAUGAAUGAAUAGGUAUUUAACAGAGACUGUUAUUCUACAGAGAAGGUCUAUUUCCAAGAAAUGAAGGGGGGAAAAUUAAAAGGCAGAUCAGUACAUUUUCACUAUAUGAUGACAAUAUUAGAGAAAGAACUUCAUUUGUCUUCAUUUAAUUUUGGAUCUUUACAGUGGAAGAGUACUACAGAAAGAUCUAGAUAAAAUCUUUUAUCAGGUGUUGCCACGGUACCAGUAUUUUUGUUUUCUUGUUGGAGUUUCUCAUGUCAGAAAAACCGCUCUGCUGUGUAAGUUUAAAGCUCACAUUCUGUCCUUCAUUUUUGCACUUUACAUUAUAAAUCACUUUGUUUACUAUAGAGGUAAUAGAUAUCAUCGCCUUUGUUCUACCAUGAAAGUGUUGAUUUUCAAAACACUAUAUGUUUAAAUUAUUCUAAUUAUAACUUAAUACUGCUGCAAUGACAUUUCACAUGCAGAAGUUAUAUCAGCGAAAAUCACUUAGGAUAACAGGCAGAAAUUAUUUUUUUUUUCUCUGAGUAUUCAUAGUACACUGGAAAUUGGGAGGUCAGGAUUUCUCACAGAUAAGACCAUCCAUUGCUGUGUUUCCCUCUGUGGAGUUACAUGCUACAUUCCCUUCCUCCCUUAUACACUAAAGCAAGAGAAACAUUUCCCUCACUCGCAGGGAUUCGGUGGUCUUCUUUGUCAGGCACUCGUUUUGCUGGUUUUGGUGCUGUAUGAGGCAGAAGAUAUGGGGAAUGUCUGGACAGUCAGCACCAAGUGCUUUCUUUAAAUGCCAGAGGUGGAGGAGUUCUGGAAAGAGCUGAAAAAAUACAAGUAGAUUAAUUUGCACUUCACAGAAGUUUCUGUUAGAAUAGAUUCAGAAAGGGAUUGAAUGAGAGAAGCAAACACGGAGGCAAA